CCCGUUUGCUGCAGGGCAGUGCGCAGUAUAUACGUAGGACGACAAUGGUGCACUAUCAUAAGGAAGGAGAUGCAAAGAGAUCCCAAGCCAAGCAGGAAGAGAAAGCAGUACUGUUUCAGACGGAGAAAGAGAAAGCACACCUACGUACUGUAGAGCA